AUUCAGCUGACGAGUCCCAAAUAAGUCGAAACGCGAGUCCUGGAU
rfam:Schistosoma mansoni strain Puerto Rico chromosome W, complete genome